AUUGAACGCUGGCGGCAGGCCUAACACAUGCAAGUCGAGCGGUAGAGAGAAGCUUGCUUCUCUUGAGAGCGGCGGACGGGUGAGUAAUGCCUAGGAAUCUGCCUGGUAGUGGGGGAUAACGUUCGGAAACGGACGCUAAUACCGCAUACGUCCUACGGGAGAAAGCAGGGGACCUUCGGGCCUUGCGCUAUCAGAUGAGCCUAGGUCGGAUUAGCUAGUUGGUGGGGUAAUGGCUCACCAAGGCGACGAUCCGUAACUGGUCUGAGAGGAUGAACAGUCACACUGGAACUGAGACACGGUCCAGACUCCUACGGGAGGCAGCAGUGGGGAAUAUUGGACAAUGGGCGAAAGCCUGAUCCAGCCAUGCCGCGUGUGUGAAGAAGGUCUUCGGAUUGUAAAGCACUUUAAGUUGGGAGGAAGGGUUGUAGAUUAAUACUCUGCAAUUUUGACGUUACCGACAGAAUAAGCACCGGCUAACUCUGUG
rnacentral:rRNA from 1 species